rnacentral:rRNA from 1 species
AACGAACGCUGGCGGCAUGCCUAACACAUGCAAGUCGAACGAGACCUUCGGGUCUAGUGGCGCACGGGGGCGUAACGCGUGGGAACCUGCCCUUAGGUUCGGAAUAACUCCCCGAAAGGGGUGCUAAUACCGGAUAAUGUCUUCGGACCAAAGAUUUAUCGCCUUUGGAUGGGCCCGCGUUGGAUUAGCUAGUUGGUAGGGUAAAAGCCUACCAAGGCGACGAUCCAUAGCUGGUCUGAGAGGAUGCUCAGCCACACUGGGACUGAGACACGGCCCAGACUCCUACGGGAGGCAGCAGUGGGGAAUAUUGGACGCUGAGCGAUGGCCUGAUCCAGCACUGCCGCGUGAGUGAUGAAGGCCUUAGGGUUGUAAAGCUCUUUUACCCGGGAUGAUAAUGACAUUACCGGGAGAAUAAGCUCCGGCUAACUCCGUG